rnacentral:rRNA from 1 species
CAUAGCGACUAUCGUGGCAUAUCAAUAAGCGGAGGAAAAGAAACUAACAAGGAUUCCCUUAGUAACGGCGAGUGAAGCGGGAAGAGCUCAAAUUUGAAAUCUUCAAGGUUCUACCUUGACGAAUUGUAGUUUAUAGAAGUGUUUUCUGUUAGUGGAGUGGCAAAAGUUCUUUGGAAUAGGACAUCAUAGAGGGUGAGAAUCCCGUAUUUGGUCAUUCCUCCUAGCGUUGUGAUACACUUUCAACGAGUCGGAUUGUUUGGGAAUGCAGUCCAAAAUGGGUGGUAAAUUUCAUCUAAAGCUAAAUAUUGGCGAGAGACCGAUAGCGAACAAGUACCGUGAGGGAAAGAUGAAAAGAACUUUGAAAAGAGAGUUAAACAGUACGUGAAAUUGUCAAAAGGGAAGCGUUUGACACCAGUGUUGUUUUUCCGAAAAUCAAUUACGAAUGUUUUAGUUUUUGAGGAGUUAUGACUUCAUCGGCUUGCUCCUUUCUUUAUGAAACUUUCUUAAUGCACUUUUCGGUUAACAAGUCAACAGUCAAUUUCUUUUGUUGUAAAAGGGUAUGAGGAAGGUGGCUUUCUUUUCGGAGAAAGUGUUUAUAGCCUUGUGCCUCUGCAAUCGGAGAGAUUGAGGUCUGCAGCGUAGAUCCUUCGGGGUUAGAUACGUUUGUGCUAAGUUAUAGCUUUUCAUAGACAACUUGUUGACUAUGUUUAGUCUUGUAGCUUACUCGCUUACUGCUAUUUUACCUACGCUUAGGAUGUUGACGAGACUGUCGAUCUC